UACGAAGGGAGCUAGCGUUGUUCGGAAUCACUGGGCGUAAAGCGCACGUAGGCGGAUUUGUCAGUCAGGGGUGAAAUCCCGGGGCUCAACCUCGGAACUGCCUUCGAUACAGCAAGUCUUGAGUUCGAGAGAGGUGGGUGGAAUUCCUAGUGUAGAGGUGAAAUUCGUAGAUAUUAGGAAGAACACCGGUGGCGAAGGCGGCCCACUGGCUCGAUACUGACGCUGAGGUGCGAAAGCGUGGGGAGCAAACAGG
rnacentral:rRNA from 1 species